AAUGAGUGGACUGGACAUGCCUUGAGAUCGAGUUUUGAAAUUAUUAGAGUAUGAUAGCUAAGGAGAUGGAGAAAACAACUGUCUCCGGAUUACAUCUUCAAACUAAGAGCAGCCAUGGCAUCCAUGACAGAGAGGGAGAAGCGUCCAUCCAUGUAUAUGGCGGUUUAUAGUGGAGUUGUUGGAAAAGACGCAGAGUGCCUGAGCUGCAUGAGUGAUGAGCAGGAUGUCUGACCACCCAACUCCGCUCACAUAGUCUGGUUGUGGGUGGGUAUUGUGUGUGAAGACUACUGCUGCUACUGCUGAUGACUUGGACACCAGUUUUAGUAGUACAGAUCCUGCAGGCCCAUUGGAUGAAUGCUUUCAGCUGGGAACAAGCUCAAGCUCAACAUCAUCUGACUCGUUCGAGGAAAAGACUGCACGGGGCUGGCAAGAGUCAAAGUGUAAAGUCUAUGAGUCCAAGGUCAUGGAGCUCAUGAAGUUCUGCCAGACCAGCUGCCAUUGCCCAUCACAAGACUAGGUUCACCAGCUGAAGAACAUUCAGAACCCUGCCUGGAACAUUCAGCCAACACAACAUCCAUACUCAGCUUGACUGAGUUGUAAUAUAAUAUAGAAUGCCUAGCUCACAACUGCAUUAUGGUAUAGAUAUUGCUAGCUCUUGUACAUAUGUAUAUAAUGAGUUUUAUCAAUAAGUUUGAUAAAAUAUUUUAUCUAAUCUU